rnacentral:lncRNA from 1 species
AGCAGGAUACAUUGAAAUAUAAUGAAAAAAAUAGUGAAUACAAUGAAAUACGGCGAGAUGCAUUGAAUUACAAUGAAACAAAACAUAAUAAAUACAAUGAAAUACAUGAAAAUACAUUGAAAUAUAUUAACAGAAAAUCAAGUUGUUCAGCCCCAAACUCCAUCGUCUUUGUUCAAGACCCUAAUUUUCGGCGAAUCCGCUGUCGAGCAAAAACCAUGAAUCACCGGGGUUGCAACUCUAACAAUAACGUUCCUUUUCACCUUCUUCUUUUCCGUUUUAGCCUAUUCUUUUCCCAUUGGCGACAUAAAAAAUAACUCUAUGAAGGAAAUUUCCCCCACCAACCAUGGCUGAGAUUGCACCAACUAUUAACAAUUAAGAAAGUGAAGCAAUAGAUAAAUAACUAUAGUUUUUUAUUAAGAAAAAUAAAAAAAGAAGCAAACGGAACAGACGGGAUUGAUGAAACCCUAACUUCCA